GAGGGUAUAGCUCAGUGGUAGAGUGUGUGCUUAGAAUGCACGAGGUCGUGGGUUCAAUCCCUGGUAACUCCA
rfam:Camelus ferus unplaced genomic scaffold scaffold2472, whole genome shotgun sequence.